rnacentral:rRNA from 1 species
UACAGAGGGUGCAAGCGUUAAUCGGAAUUACUGGGCGUAAAGCGUGCGUAGACGGUUAUGUAAGUCGGGUGUGAAAGCCCCGGGCUCAACCUGGGAAUUGCAUUCGAGACUGUGUAGCUAGGGUACGGAAGAGGGAAGCGGAAUUUCAGGUGUAGCGGUGAAAUGCGUAGAUAUCUGAAGGAACACCAGUGGCGAAAGCGGCUUCCUGGUCCAGUACCGA